rnacentral:rRNA from 1 species
UACGUAGGGGGCAAGCGUUGUCCGGAUUUAUUGGGCGUAAAGAGCGUGUAGGCGGCCAGACAGGUCCGUUGUGAAACUAGAGGCUAACCUCUAGACGUCGAUGGAAACCGUCUGGCUAGAGUCCGGAAGAGGACGAAUGGAAUUCCUGGUGUAGCGGUGAAAUGCGCAGAUAUCAGGAAGAACACCCGUGGCUAAGGCGGUUCUCUAGUACGGUACUGACGCUGAGACGCGAAAGCGUGGGGAGCGAACAGG